GACAGAGGGGGCAAGCGUUGCUCGGAAUUACUGGGCGUAAAGGGCGCGUAGGCGGCUCAGUAAGUCGGGUGUGAAACCCCCAGGCUCAACCUGGGGACGCCACCCGAUACUGCUGUGGCUAGAGUCCAGUAGGGGAGUGUGGAAUUCCCGGUGUAGCGGUGAAAUGCGCAGAUAUCGGGAGGAACACCAGCGGCGAAGGCGGCACUCUGGGCUGGUACUGACGCUGAGGAGCGAAAGCGUGGGUAGCAAACAGG
rnacentral:rRNA from 1 species